GCCUUUUUGAGUCGAUACCGUUGCUUGACGCGCGUGAAAAUUUUUGGCUUCGUCUUCAAAUUGAUAUUUAUUGUAGUUUGUGCGCGCAUUUUUUUCUUUAAACAAGUUGUGUUUGUUUUACGUUGUGCAAAUAAGCAAGUAAAGCAGUUGUAAUAUUUGCCAUUUCAUUUCAUAUUUACCUGUUUUAAUAUUUACGCAUCAAUUUCAUUUUGCUUUUGCUGUGUGUGUGCAGACACUUAACGAAUUUUUUUUUGUGUUGUUUGUGAAGAGAAAGAGUGCGGAUUGUAAGCCCAGUAUUGAAUGUACAAGUGGCCAACAUAUUUAUUAUUACUUGGGGAUGCAGCCAGCCAUUUGGCCUUUUGCCAGGCAUAUUGAUGUCCACAGAAGUCUCACAAAUUGAUACCCUGCAGCAGCGCCAAGAAGCGCUAUAUAACAAAGUUAAUUACAUAUUUAAAUGAAAUUCACAUCCGGUCAACAUAUGGAUUCAAGUUAUCACUGCAUAUAAUCUUUUCGAACUGCAAGCGACUGACAUGCGCUUGCAUUAAACCCGAUGAUUGACUGGGACUCCCCCCGCUCCAGCUUCUGCCCGCCACACCUUUCUAAUUGCCUCUAAGCUGCAGUUGUGCAGCGACGUGUUUGAUUAAAAAGUGGUUGUUUGUUCUGUGUGUUGUGUAGUGUAGUGUAAAGAGUGUAGUGCAGAGAGAGUGAAAAAGAGAGCUGGCGCUUUGCUCUCUC